AUGGCUUGUGGCUGCUUUUCCCAAUACCCUCAGGUCGGGGAGAUCUGUGGGUCUGUGGGGAAGGAGAGAAAUGUUCCUGGGAUGUCCUCAGUAGGCCUGCAGUGGAUCUGGGACCCUUUGUGGAGGUCUGGGAGGGGUCAUGGGGAAGAAAGGUUGAACUCCACUUCCCCUGAGCUGGGGGACACUGGGGCUAGAGUUGGGCCAGGCUGGGUGGUUCCUGCAGCUGCUGGGUGUGCUCCUCGGGAGGGAGCUGGGAGGUGGGGGCAGUGGUGGUGGCCGUGGGUCCCCAAUUCUUCCCAUUUUCCAAACUUAAAGCGGGGAAAGAAAACAGGCCACACAGUCAGGAGAGCCUCUUUGUUAACAAACAUGGAUCAACUAUAGGUGACACAAGGAUGGGUCACACAGUCUCUGCUUCCCAGUCUUCAGGCUGAGGUGCCACAGGAAUGAGGAUGCAAGAUACAGCAGACAUGAGUCAUGAAAGAAGUAUACACGACGAAGCCAGACUAGGGAACUAAGUGGGAAAUCUGGGGGAUCUGAACAGAGGCUCUCGGGUCAAUUACAUUUGGGAAGGACCCAGAAGGAUAUGUAAAAUUCAUCUUCUUUCUUCUUUAUAAAAAUUUAUUACCCUUACUUUUUAAACAAAGGGUGGGGUGGGAAGAGAGAGAGAGAAGCGGGCAUCAUUGAUGGAAGGGGAGCAAAGAGGAAGGUGUUCUAGGCACAGGAGGCCUGGCAGGGGCAAAGGCACAGGGAUGGAAUGUGGGCCCACUUGGGAAGCAUUGAGUAAUUCAGUUUGAUUGGGCAUGAGGUAGUGGAAAGAAGAACUGGAAAGGUAGACCAGAGCCAUAUCACCACGGGGGCCCCUAAAUUCCAAGCUAAGGAAUUUGCACUUCAUUUAGUAGGCCACAGGGAACCUCCACAAGUGACUGGAUUACAAGUGUGCUUUAGGAGGAAAACUCCAGCAGCCAUGCGUGGGAUGAACUAGAGGUAGAGGUCCCAUUAGUUAAGCGACUAGAGAAUGAUGUGGGCCUUCAUAUGGACGCCAUUCUUGGGAACUGGAAGGCAGGAAGAUACUUAUCCAAAGCUCCCAUGUCUUGAUUCUAUCUUUAUUCUGAGGACAGAUACAGAGAUGAACAAAGACACAAGCUCUAGCUGAUUCAUAUAUAGCCUUGUGGAGAAGGCAAUAAAGGAGCAGUUAUCCUGCAAUAGGGUCAAGUGCACAACAGGGUCAAGUACUCAGGGACUGCAAAAAAAGGGGGGAUUUGAGAAAUGGUUCAGAGGUUUCCCAUGUAGAAAAGAACACUGACUCUCACAUUUUUUCUUCCCUGAUUUAGUCUAAAUAGUGCUGCUCAUAGAUGUAUUUGUGUUUAGCUGGCAUCUAAUCUGAAGAAGUUUCGCCAAGCCAAUCAUAGGGCAAAUGACCCCACUGAACACAGACAAAUGUCCAGGUUCUCUGUUCACCCUCCUAACACUUAGAGGGGGAGGGAUGGGAAAACCCAAGCAGGGACUAACCCACUGGACUGAGUGGUUUGAGAAGCCCAAGGACCCAGUGUUAAUUCUGACCUGAAGACACAUGUCCCCACCUCUCAGCUUUGCUUAAUUGGGUUACAGGAAUUAGUCUUGAGAACAGAGAAAAGGCAAGAAACCACAUUCUCCUCACUCUUAAGCCUCUAAAGAAGAGGUCAAGUGAGGUCGCCCCUGCUUGACCUGAUGAGGAUGGCCAAGCAAGGAAAAUGGCUUUUUGGGAGAUGUCAUAAGGCAGGCCAGCAAAGGGCAGGCAGGAAGAGAGAGGGAAAGUCAGACCAGGGACAGCUGGGGAGGAUGCCCCAAGGUGGUGCCUGGCACAGAGGAGGCCUCUGCUAAUUAUUUUACAGAUUGCAUGAAUCAGCCCCAGAGGUCAGGGGGCACUCAUUUUAGGAGAAAUGCAACUAAAAUGGCAGCAAGAAACCACCUUUCACCUAUUGGAUAGGCAAAGAUCAGGAGGCUUGGUAAGAUUCUGUGUCAGUGAGGGUGUAGGAAACAUCCCCUCCAAUGCCCUGCUGAUGCAGCCAUAAGUGGAUAGCUUCAGUGCAAGGCAAUUUAGUAGUAUGGAUCAACAUUACAAAUGUGUGUAAUUUGCAGGCAAGCAAUCUCACUUCUGGGAAUUUAUCAAGCAGAUAUGCACAUGUGCAAAGUGACCUAUAUACAGUGUAUUUAUUUGCAGCUUUGCUUGUAAGGUACGACUAGAAAAUAAAAUAAUCGGGGCUGGUAAAAUUGAUUAUGGCUUAUCCUCAAUUAAACACAGGUAUUAUGAAUUAUGACAUGGACUGAUCUGUAAGAUCAAUUGUCCAAAAAAACUACAGGAAAAAUUGCGUGUAUAGUACGCACGAUUUGUGUGAACAAUAAAAAACAACAUAUGCAUGUUUGUAUGCUGUCGUGAGUAUAGGAAGAAAAAUACAUAUUUGCUUAUAAAAGCAUAGACUAUGUCUAGAAAGAAACACUAGAAAACUUGGGUUUGCCCCCCAGGAUGAUGAACUGGGUUAACUGCGGAGCGGGAACAUUGUAUACUCAUUUGUACCUUUAAAAUUUUGUGUUAGGUACAAGUAGUACUUACCAAAAACAUUUUUAGUACAAGCAAAUUAAAAAGGAGAGAACUGGUCAAGGAGGCUUAUGGUUGUUUCCUCCAACAGGGGCUCCCUGAGCAGUCCUGUCCCUGUGUGCUGGUCUACAGCACCCCCUGCUGCUGCUUGUGAGCACUCUCAGCGCAAUGUGGGUGUGGGGGUGACAGAGCAGGGGAUUCUUUGAGGGAGCACUGGGGUCUCUUUAAACAAAGAAAGUGGAAAAAAAAUAAGCAAAGAAAGUGGAAAGGAUGGCAUGCAAUAUUGGAGCUGGAGGAGAUUCAGACAGGACAGGAUGUGCCCUGUGGCAUCAGAGGUGUAGCAAGCUGGGCGCUGGGAAUGAACAGUCCUGGGUUCGAGUCCCGACCCUGCCCUCCCUGGCUGUGUGCUCUUGGAUUCAUGACCCUCUUAAUAAGUCUCAGCUCUUACCCCAUAAAUUGCUCUAAUAAUAUUUACCUCUAGGGUUGUUUUGAGGAUCCAAUAGGGCACAGAGUGUAAACAGUGCUUUAGAAUCAGAAAAAAGCUAUAAAUCUAGGGGAUUAUUUUUAACUACCCCUCUCAUUUUAUGAGGAAAUAAGAGGUAGUAUAGGGCAGUGGUUAAGACAAAGAUUCUGCAGCCAGAACUGCUGGACUUGGAAGCCUAGUUUUACCACUCAUGGGCUGGGAUGAUCUAGGGUAAAUUAAUUUGGAGACUUUCAUUUUUCAUCUAUGAAAUAGGGCUAAUAAUGACAUUUUCAUACGUUGUUGUGAGGAUUAAGGGAAUAAAUACAAACAAAUAAAGCAUUUGGUAUAGUGUCUGGCACACAUGAAGUGCUGAGUAAGCAUCUGCUAUUAUUGAUUCCUUAUAAGAUCUACAAUGCUUAUGUACCUUAUGUAGGACCUUGACACAUAUGAGCGAGUCUUACCAUUUUAUAGGUGAAGAAAUUGAAGCAUGGAAAGGGGAUGUGACUUGCCCAAGCCACCCAACUAAUGAGUACUAAUAAUUCUCCUUCCAAAGAACCUUAGGCAUUUCCUGGACGUUAGCACUCUAGUUCAGAGGGCAUUCCCAGGUGGGAGUGUAUUUCUUACUCCCCGCAACCUGAAGAAAAACUGGACUGGAUGGGGGAUGGAAGAAGGUGGGAGAAGCGGGGGGCACGAGGAAGAGAAGCUGUCAUGGGGGAAGAUAUGGAGACUAGGCUUGUGGGGAGAUGAGAGGCAUGCUGUGUCAGAGUCUAGGAGAAUUUGGCAAAGAGAUGUGGCAUGACCAGGAAACCGAGUGGGAAUUGGGGAUCUGGGACACUGAAGAACUUAGGGGUGAGAUUCAGGCCAGGGGAUUUUCAGGGGAUUUUCAGCCAAGUUCUUGGUAGGGAGGAACUGAGAUCAUGAUGAUAAUGACCAUCCUCACUGUUGAACAGUUAUUUCCUGAGACGGGCAAGAUGGUAUAGUGGAAAGAGCACUAAUAAGAAUGUUUUUUUUUUUUAAAAAAAGAAUGUUUUGAUCAUCUAUGAUGUGCCAGGUGAUCAAAUGCAUGGAGGUAAAAGACUGCUCUUUGCUAAUCGGGGGCCCCUGGGCAGUUUUCUAUAACUUCUGAGCUUCUGUUUUCACAACAGGCAUAGUAAUCCCUGAUGGCACUCUCAUGGAAGAUGAAGUUAGGCAACAAUGGAUGUGAGAGCCAUCACGGUGCCUGGUAUCCUGAGGGCACUCACAAAUGUUGAAUGGAGCAUCCCUGUAUAUGGCACUGAGCCAGGUACUAUGAAGGAGACAAGAAGCACAAGAUGAUGGGGCGCCUGGGUGGUUCAGUGGUUGCGCAUCUGCCUUUGGCUCAGGUUGUGAUCCUGGGGUCCUGGGAUCGAGUCCCACAUAGGGUUCCCAGCAGGGAGUCUGUUUCUCCCUAUCCCUAUGUUUCUGCCUCUCUCUGUAUCUCUCAUGAAUAAAGAAAUACAAUCUUUUUUUUUUUUUUUUUUUUUAAAGAAGAAGCCCGAGAUGAGAAUACUGCGGCCAACGGGCAGGCUUGAAGUCUAGUUGAACAGACAGGACACAUAAAAGGUUUAAAGACAAAACCAAAUGAAAGUCACCAUUUUACAUUCCAAGGACUGGAAAUGAGUAGCUGAACAGUUUGAGGAAUGAGCACCCCACCAAGGGCUGAGCUGCUGAAGGAGGCUCCCUGAAGACAUAUGAGUGAGACCUUAGGGGACCUAAUUCAGUUGAGAAGAAGGAGGUGUGUCCCAGGUGGAAAACAGAGUAAACCUACAGGAUGAGAAAGCAGUGAGCAGAACUAGUGCUUACUGAGUGCCUGCGCCAGAUCGUGCACUUUGCCUUGGGCUUUCCCAGACCUAACCUUCCUGGAUCCUCACCACCACUUGUGAGUGCUUAUCUCUCUCCCCGUUUUAUACAUGAGGGAUAUUGAGAGUCAAAGAAGUUAAGUAACUCACUUAUGAUCACUCUUCACAAAUGGGUGAAUCAAAAUUCAAACCCAGAGCUCUGGCCACAAAAUCCACAUGAAGGAACUAAAGUCAGCAAUAUGAGGCUAAGGAAAUCUAUGUGUUACACUCAUUCGUUCAUUCAACUACUAUUUAGUGAGUGUUUGCUAUGUGCUAGGCAUUGUGCUAAGUGCU
rnacentral:lncRNA from 1 species